rnacentral:tRNA from 1 species
GCCCCGAUAGCUCAACUGGAUAGAGCAACGGUCUUCUAAACCGUAGGUUACAGGUUCGAGUCCUGUUCGGGGUA